ensembl:lncRNA
GGUGAUCUGCUAAAGAGAGACGUGUGUGUGUGUGUGUGUGUGUGUGUGUGUGUGUGUGUGUGUGUGUGUGUGUGUGUGUGUGUGUGUGUGUGUGUGUGUGUGUGUGUGUGUGUGUGGUAAAAACACAGGCACCAGGCAACACAGGUGUGAGACUGCAGCUUUAUUCACGGCCCCGGGGAAAGUUACAAACGCCACAAGGGCCAAGCAACAAAUCCAAAGCUCUGUGGGGCGAGGCCCAUUCUAUUACAAACUCAAUCCACAUCACACAUACAGUCCCAUUAUUUCAGUAAUAGACACGUGACUAACAGACAUAUGACCAAACUAGUUUUUAUGAAGAAUAACAAAAAAGAAUGGGGGGGGGGUUCACAAUACACUGUAUACAUCCUUCUGUCUUUCAGUUGCUGUCAUCACAUGCUCCAUCCCAUGGUGUCAAUUAUGCAUGUCAGCAUCCUUCCUGCUACUGUUUAUGCCAUGUAUGUUACAUUGUGGCUUAUGACUACCUAAAUGGGGUCCCUAUGGUCCUGCUAAUAUGUUUCUCCUGUUCUCUAGGACAAGGAAUUUGUGUUUGCACCAAUAUUCAUAUUGCAGUUAUAAGACCUCAGGAGCAGAAAGGAAGAGCAUAUCUUUCAAGCUUACAAACAUCAAAAAGAAAACUUAUCUCCACCAAACACUUUAAGGUGUAAUAAUACAAAUUAACCUACAACCAUAUACAUAAUAAUUUUUAAAGAAAACACUCAACAAUUCAGUCAACAAUACACUCAUGUUUACAUGGUAUGAAAUUAGCUAAAUGAUUAAAGUAGCUUCAGGUCAUGCGCGGAGGACUUUGCUCGUUGCCAAUUAAAUUAGGGCCCUGGGACUCUAAAGCUCAUGUUAUGCAUUGGCCUUCAUUUCCUGAAUGAUCUCUUCUGCUCUCUCUCUGCCAAUGAAAUCAUUCAGUUUUAUGUGUCCAAUAUCACACGCAGUGAGAGCCUCCAGAAGCGUCUCCAAAGAGAAUUCUAGAAUUGUACCUUCUGGCAUGUGAAAGGCCAGGCUCAUGUGAUCCCACACAUAAAAUUCGAAAUCCCCAUAUUCUACGGCUUCUACUUGUUUCUCAUCUCUGUUUUCAAUCAGUCUAUAGCUGUGUGUUUGAGAGAUGGCUUGAGCAUGCCAGAUGAUCUCUCCAUCCUUGUAAGCACACACUGGGUAAUCAUCAUAAUCAUGAACAUCAGGGCUAUGAAUCAGCACAACAUACAUGACCUCCUGCGUGUAGGUUACAGUCUCAUAAACUCUAAGGACAGGCUCUUCUUCUCCACAGAACUGGCUUCUGUACGCGUUCAUAACAUCAGCCAGUGAGAAAGUGAACCGGAAGUUUCCAUAGCGAGAGCCAUCCGUAAACACAGGAGAGGUGGUGAAUUUAUGCAGGAAAGGCUCCUGUCGCUCUCUCACUUCUGGACUCCGAUCAGGGAAGAGUUCCUCAAGGUACCUCUGCUCUGCAGUAGUGAUCUCGUCUUCACCAAUCAGUGUCCCCCACCACAAGAGUCUCCUAUCCCCUCCACGAAAUCCUGUGAGGUCCAGAAUCCCUGUCAUACCAUCUGUAGUUGUGACGUGAGAUACUAUUGAACAAUGGAACUCUACAGGUCGAGGAUAAUGUGGAACUACGCACAUACGUGGUUCUUCAUUUGGUUGAGCCACUGUUUUAAGACUCAUGGGCAAUUUCCUCCUCUUCAUAACAUCUAUAACCACAUGUUCCCUACAUACAUAAUGUUCCUCGAAUCCCCUCGCAUUCUUUCGGUCUCGGAUUGGGUUCUGUUGAGACAAGGAUUAAAAAUUUGUUGCGGUUUGUUUUGAAUUUUAAUUUUUUCCUUCAUUUUUCUUAUUCAGUUAAUUUUAAGGAUGAAUUAAACCCUUUCACUGCGUAAUGAAUUAAAAUUUCAUACCUCGUUUUCAGGUUGAGCGGCCAUCCUUUAGCUUCUACUGGUGCGA